AGAAGCGAAUAAGGGCGCUUGGAGGAUGCCUAGGCGACAAGAGCCGAAGAAGGGCGCGGUACACUGCGAAAAGCCUCGGUAAGCCGUGUGCAGGCGAAGAGCCGGGGGUACCCGAAUGGGGAAACCCCCCUGGAGAGGUCCAGGGACCCAGCACUGAACACAUAGGUGCUGAGGAGGGAACGCGGGGAACUGAAACAUCUUAGUACCCGCAGGAGAAGAGAAGAUUCCCCGAGUAGUGGCGAGCGAAAGGGGAGCAGCCCAAACCCGACCUGUGGAAUAGCCUGUCAGCGUUGCAGGGCGGGGGUAGUAGGAGCUGGGGGCGUCGUGACAGCGACGCACAGGAGUGAGAAAGGGAGCGGCUAAUCGAAGGACACUGGAAAGGUCCGCCAGAGACGGUGACAGCCCGGUAGAUGAAAGCGGGUCCCCUCCUGCCAGGAUCCUGAGUACCACGGGGCACGAGGAACCUUGUGGGAAGCAGGGCCGACCACGGCCCAAGGCUAAAUACUCUUGACGACCGAUAGAGAACCAGUACCGUGAGGGAAAGGUGAAAAGAACCCCGGUGAGGGGAGUGAAAGAGAAUCUGAAACCAAGCGUCUACAAGCGGUCGGAGCACGAUACCCCAUAGGGGUUAGUGCGACGGCGUGCCUUUUGGAGAAUGAACCAGCGAGUUACUCUUGGUUGCGAGGUUAAGGCAGAGACAGCCGGAGCCGUAGGGAAACCGAGUCUGAAUAGGGCGCGGGCCAUAGCGAUAUGGUCGAAGUAGUCAGGAGUAGACACGAAACCAGGUGAGCUACCCAUGUCCAGGCUGAAGCGAGGCUAAACCCUCGUGGAGGGCCGAACCUUUCACCGUUGCAAAGGUGUGGGAUGAGGUGUGGGUAGGGGUGAUAUGCCAAACGAACCUGGAGAUAGCUUGUUCUCCCCGAAAUAGCUUUAGGGCUAGCCUCGCGGGAUGAAUGUUGGAGGUAGAGCACUGGAUGGGCUAGGGGGCGCAAGCCUACCGAACCCAACCAAACUCCGAAUGCCAACAUUAGAGAACGCGGGAGUCGGACGGCGAAUGAUGAGAUCCGUCGUCGAGAGGGAAAGAACCCAGACCGUCGGCUAAGGUCCCGAAGUGCCAGCUAAGUGGGAAACGUUGUGGGAUUGCCGAGACAGCCAGGAGGUUGGCUUAGAAGCAGCCACCCUUUAAAGAGUGCGUAAUAGCUCACUGGUCGAGGGGUCCUGCGCGGAAAAUAUAACGGGGCUCAAGCUGGUCACCGAAGCCGCGGGGGUGCACGUGAGUGCAUCUGGUAGGGGAGCGUUGUGUACGUGAUGAAGCUGUACCGGAAGGAGCAGUGGAGUGUACAGAAGUGAGAAUGCUGGUAUGAGUAGCGAAAAAUAUGUGAGAACCAUAUUCACCGAAAGCCCAAGGAUUCCGACGGAAGGCCAGUCCGCGUCGGGUUAGUCGGGCCUAAGCCGAGGCCGGCAGGCGUAGGCGAUGGACAUCCGGUUAAUAUUCCGGAACCACAGCGCGAGAGUGAAGGGGUGACGCAAUGCGGGAAGUCAACCUGGAGGAUGGCAGAGCCAGGCCAAACGUGUAGGCCGUAGAGGGGGGUAGGGAAAACCGCUCCCGGAGGUCGAGGCGUGAAGGGGAGCCGCAAGGCGGAAGUGACCGUACCGGGUUGCCGAGAAAAGCCUCUAAACGGUGAAGGCGCUGUGCCCGUACCGCAAACCGACACAGGUGGGUGGGUAGAGAAUACCAAGGUGAACGAGGAAACCUUCGUCAAGGAAUUAGGCAAAUUAACCCCGUAACUUCGGGAGAAGGGGUGCCCCUGAUCGUGAAGGAUGCACAUUUGGAGCGAUUGGGGGUCGCAGUGAAAGGGCUCUAGCGACUGGUUACCAAAACCACAGGUCUCUGCGAACGCGCAAGCGGAAGUAUAGGGGCUGACACCUGCCCAGUGCCGGAAGGUUAAGGGGAGGGGUUAGGCGCAAGCCGAAGCUCAGAACCGAAGCCCCGGUGAACGGCGGCCGUAACUAUAACGGUCCUAAGGUAGCGAAAUUCCUUGUCGGGUAAGUUCCGACCCG
rnacentral:rRNA from 1 species